AACAAAAAAACACACCCAUUGGAGAAGCCUAUGACUAAGUGAUGGUGGUAUUUUUUUCACUGGUUUUGGAAAUGUUCAGGCAAAAUGAACUAUAUAUUCCAUCAGCAGAGAUUGUAGCAGAAACUAACAUCGGAAAAAGACAAUCAUUGCAGCAAUUGAUAUAGCAAUAGCGAUUUUCAAUGCAUCUUGCUGCCUGCAAAACCUUUUGCAAAUAAAAAACAAAUGAUGACUGAAUGGGCAAUCUGAUACCUGGUGCAUGGAGGUCAACAUCUACAAAUUUCUCCACUAUGAAGCAUUAUGGAUUAAACAUGUAAUCGUAGAGAGAGCAGAAACAGUUCCGAAUACUAUGUCUUCUGUUGGAAGCGUUCCAUGGCAGGUUUCGUGGUUGCAGGCAUCGUGUGAUUGUGAUUACGACGAUUAAGGUCCAAAUUCAACGGUCGGAACAAAUAUAUCACGAAAUCACCGUUAAGUGUUAAUUUGCAUCAAGUUAAGUUGGAAGCAUCAUAUGAUUACCUUGCAUUUGCUUGCAACCUGUCAAUCAAAUGUUUUAAAUCACAACACGCGGCAAUAGAGGAAGCCAAAAUGGAAAUCGCCAAAACGUUGAGCUUCAGAUUUCUAAUAUAAGGCGCUGUUUCGGUUAAACAAACCACCAGUCUUCUACAGACCACAACGUAAAGAUGAACAAGUCAGCACUUCUCCUUUUGCUCGUCAUCGGACUCCUCGUUCUCCCUGAAACCAGUGCAGGUGGCGUCUGGAGUCGUCGUCGCGGCCUCUGGGGUCGUCGUCAAUACAACCAAGAGUCAACAAAUGUUGAAGAAAACGAUUUAAUGAUUAAUGAAGUUAUGCAAAAACUCAAUCAACAGGAUGAUUAAUUGCUUGCCCAUCCAGUGCAUUAUAAUAUGUUGAUUGAAUAAAUUCAAUCAAAAAGAAACAUUAUCUGGCUCGUUUGUGUAUCUUCACAGUGACCAAGCAAAUAUUUGUACCAUAUAGAAAAUAAGUUGAAAGUAACUAAAAUAAAUUAAUUUGGUUAUUGGAUAAAGGAGACUUGUCGAUUUUUCUUGAGUUUUCUGUAAUUUUUUAGGUGUUUUGAAAAUAAGCGUACUUCAUUCAACCAAAACAUCAUCUAUAUACUUCAAGUCUCUUUUAAAACAAAACUAACCAUUGUUUUACUUGAUAUCUGGUUGAUCUUGAAAAUAUUUUUGACAAACAUUGCAUAUUCACUGGACUGCGGUUAGUUGGGAAUGAAGUAUAUAAAUGAUGUUUUAGUUGAAUGAAGUAGGCUACGUUGUUUUCAAAACACCUAAUAAUAUAUAACAAAAAAUUCCGAGGGGAAAUAGUCGGGGGGGGGGGGAAUAGUCACUGUGGGGAAAUAGCCGGAGGGGAAUAGUCACGGGGGGAAGUAGCCGGGGGGAAUAGUCACGGGGGGGGGGAAGUAGCCGGGUGGGAAAUAGCCGGGGGGGAGGAAAUCGCCGAUGGGAAAACGCCUGGGGGGAUAUAGCCUAGAACCGUUAAGAUUAUAAACUUUGAUUGGCAGGUUGCAGGCAUCAUCAGAUUGUGAUUACGACGAUUAUAAGGUCCAAAUUCAACGGUCGGAACAAAUAUAUUACGAAAUCGCCGUUAAGUGUUAAUUUGCAUCAAGUUAAGUAACUGAUACAUUUGGCGGUGCUAUAUCUAAGAAUUUAUCAUAAAAUGUUUAAACAUUCCUCGUCGUUCGAUACAAAACAUCCGCUUUUCUGUCUCACGAAAACGUUUUAGCGACUUCCAUUUUGGCUUCCUGAAUUGCAUUAUAAAUUUUGAUUGACAGGUUGCAAGCAUUAUAUGAUUACCUUGCAUUUGCUUGCAACCUGUCAAUCAAAUGUUAUAAAUCACAACACGCGGCAAUACAGGAAGACAAAAUGGAAGUCGCCAAAACGUUGAGCUUCAGAUUUCUAAUAUAAGGCGCUGUUUCGGUUAAACAAACCACCAGUCUUCUACAGACCACAACGUAAAGAUGAACAAGUCAGCACUUCUCCUUUUGCUCGUCAUCGGACUUCUCGUUCUCACUGAAACCACUAACGCCCUCUGGGGUCGUCGUCGCAGAUGGCGUCAAUACAACCAAGAGUCAACAAAUGUUGAAGAAAACGAUUUAAUGAUUAAUGAAGUUAUGCAAAAACUCAAUCAACAGGAUGAUUAAUUGCUUGCCCAUCCAGUGCAUUAUAAUAUGUUGAUUGAAUAAAUUCAAUCAAAAAGAAACAUUAUCUGGCUCGUUUGUGUAUCUUCACAGUGACCAAGCAAAUAUUUGUACCAUAUAGAAAAUAAGUUGAAAGUAACUAAAAUAAAUUAAUUUGGUUAUUGGA